CCGGACUGCCACAUGGCGUCGCCAGGCCUUCUGGAUGGUGCGGGCAAAGCCAUCGAACUUCCGCUCUCGCAUCUCCUCCAGAAGGAAGAGCUGGGCAAAAGAGGGGCGAAGAAGAGGGAAGUUUGGACCCAGACACAGAGGAGAAGGUCGUGUGAUGACAGAGGUAGAGACUGGAGUGAUCAAGAAUGGCAAGGAUGGCCGGCACCCACUGGAAGUUAGGGAGAGUCAAGGAAGGCUCUUCCCUGCAGCCUUGAGAGGGACCGUGGCCCCGCGGACACAUUGGUGUUGGAUUUCCAGCUUCCAGAAACGUGAGCAAAUUAAUUUCUGUUGGGUUCAGCCAUCCAGUCGGUGGUACUUCACUACAGCAGCCACAGGAAAGGAACACACGCAGCGUGACAGGCAGGGAAGGCCAGCAGGUGUGUGAAACAGCCAAGGAUAGUUUGAGUUCAUGUGUACAAGGAGCCAAAUUCAAAUCAGAAUCAUCCCAAUGUGGGCUGGCUGGCAGAGUCCCCACCUCCGUUAGGGUAACUUAAUUCUUUGAUCAAUUGUGAUACAGCAUAGUUAUAAACAGUUACAAAACUGUAUCCAGUUUUUUCCUGUGCAAAUUUUCAGUCUUGUUUUUCCUUACAACAUUUUUCCACCAAACUUUUCCCUGUGUGAAUUUCAUUGUUUCCGGCCGUGGAAAUAAUUUUUGUCAGAAUAUGAUUUUACCUUAGAUAGCCUUAGCCAGUGCUAGCCUUGUUGACUCUGUUUUUGUUUGUUUGUUUGUUUGUUUGUUUUUUCCCAGUGUCAAUUUUUACAUGUUUCUUUCAGAGUCAGAUUUUGCAAACUGCCUGCAACCAGCAGGAUGGAUUCUCUUUCUCUGUCUCUCCUCUUUUUCUGACCCUCCCUCCCUUUCUUUCUCAACUGCUACAAUUUGAAUGGUUCCCGAUUAGUUCCAGUCAUGGGCAAUUUUGGUUUGUGAUGCUAGUUUCUGUCAGUAAAAAGAUCUACUCUGGAUGCAA